rnacentral:rRNA from 1 species
AACGAACGCUGGCGGCAGGCUUAACACAUGCAAGUCGAGCGCCCCGCAAGGGGAGCGGCAGACGGGUGAGUAACGCGUGGGAACGUACCCUUUGCUACGGAAUAGCUCCGGGAAACUGGAAUUAAUACCGUAUGUGCCCUACGGGGGAAAGAUUUAUCGGCAAAGGAUCGGCCCGCGUUGGAUUAGCUAGUUGGUGGGGUAAUGGCCUACCAAGGCGACGAUCCAUAGCUGGUCUGAGAGGAUGAUCAGCCACAUUGGGACCGAGACACGGCCCAAACUCCUACGGGAGGCAGCAGUGGGGAAUAUUGGACAAUGGGCGCAAGCCUGAUCCAGCCAUGCCGCGUGAGUGAUGAAGGCCUUAGGGUUGUAAAGCUCUUUCACCGGAGAAGAUAAUGACGGUAUCCGGAGAAGAAGCCCCGGCUAACUUCGUGCCAGCCGCCGCCUGUAACAC